rnacentral:rRNA from 1 species
UACGUAGGUGGCAAGCGUUGUCCGGAUUUACUGGGCGUAAAGAGCGCGCAGGCGGUCGUUCAAGUCGCGUGUGAAAGCCCCCGGCUCAACUGGGGAGGGUCACGCGAUACUGAUCGACUCGAAGGCAGGAGAGGGAAGUGGAAUUCCCGGUGUAGUGGUGAAAUGCGUAGAUAUCGGGAGGAACACCCGUGGCGAAGGCGGCUUUCUGGGACGGUACUGACGCUGAGACGCGAAAGCGUGGGGAGCGAACAGG